GGCAUUGGGCACAUAAUUUAUUAAUCUGUGCUUCAGUUUCCUCAUCUACAGGAUAAGGUUGGACUAAAUAGUGGGCUCUUUCCAGUUCUGACCUCAUUAUUCUCCUAGAAACUGCUCCUAGUUGCAACAAUGCUUCCCGGAAGUCACUGCAGUUAUCUAUAUCAUCUCUAAGGAAGAACAGAAUGACAAGUUUGAAGAGAAAAAAAAAAAAAGGAAGCGAAUUUGUCUUUCCCUGCAUAAUUAUCAACAUUAUUUUUCAUCAUCCAGCAUCAGAAGUUUAUUCUUACUGAAGAGUGUGCGGAUGGUGUUCAGGGAAUGUGACAAACAUUCAUAAAUUGAUGCUGAGGCGAAACAAAAACGUGUAAUAGUGAUUUUGGUACCUAUAAUUGUCCAGAGUCUGGAAACAGAACUUUACGUUUAAUUAGAAAAGCAUCUAUAAUUUCGACAGCAGAUUCUAGGCAACAGCUGCGGGAACUCAUCAACGGCUCCCUGCUUCCAGCUCAUUGGCUGUUGAGGAAGGAGCAAGCUCCCGAAGAUUAUCCUGGGACAUCUACCAAGACACAGUGAUGUCAGAAAAAUAACGCAGUUCAAAGCAGAAUGAAAUAAAAGCUAAAUAGAAUUACAAGCAGCUAUUAUAUUACAAAUCAUGGAUCUGAAAGCAAAACUGGAGACAGAACAGAAAACUAAUAAAAUGAUUCAGAAGAAAUAAUUUCUGAGAAAAGAUUAAAACCCAAUAGUACAACCACAAGAAAUAGCCAUCCACCAUUAUUUGAAAGAAGAGUACAUUAUAGGAAGAUUGAGAGAACCAUAUGAUGUUGCUACACAAAUCACUGAAUCUACGAAGAAUGGAAUAAGAUAAAAAAAAAAAAAAGUAAUGCUAAUUUGAAAUGCCAGUGAAACUUAAUUUAUUCUAUCUAAAAAAGUGAUGAAUUCGUGCUCUGAAAACUCUAUCUGGCUUCUGAGAAGAAUACAACAUGGGAUGACAUAUUGUGUAGUGUAAGUAUUAACUACGUCUCCUGAAAAAAGAAAACCAUCUAUUUUAAUCUGCAGCUUUCUGGUACCAAAUAUGUUCAUC